rnacentral:piRNA from 2 species
UCAUCUGGAAACUGGUCCUAGCUGUC